UUUAUUUUAUUUUAUUUUGGUUUUGUACCCUGCAUGUUUUGUAAUGCAUCUAGAACAGUUCUGGAAACUGCGCAAAAGAAACCUUGGUAACUUUAAAGAAAACUCUCUGGCCUGCAGUAGCACAGAUUGUGAUUUGCUUCCAAGGUUGGUUUGUAUUUUAAAGGAAUUAUUCAACGUUUUUUAGGUACGGGAGGGUGUGGACUGCCAGCUCAUAACACCUACCCCCUGGCAUUCCUCACCUACCCCCUGGCAUUCCUCCCUCACAAGUCAAGCGCCCAACAAUCAUGAGAUGGGCUUAAAAAGUGGUAGUUUUAAACACCCAGGUACCUGCUGCCUAAAGUCACCCUGCAGGCCGGUGGCAGAGUCAGGUGACCACAGCGAAGCAUCGCUGUGGCCUAGGCUUUGCGGUAUAAGUUCAGCUCUGGACCGUAGAGCAGCGGAAGCACCAGAGGGGAAGAGGUCACAGGCCAGGGGGCAAUGUGGAAGAAUGCACAGAGACGGCUGAGAGAAGCUGGUGGAUGAUGUUGGCAAGGCUGCCACCUUGGACGUGGUGAUGGGCCAGAUGGAGGCCAGGUGCCUAAGUCUGAGCUCCUGCUCCAUGUCCCAAUGAACAGUGAGAUGACAUGCGGUCACAGCAAGCACGCUCAGGCAUAAACCCAUGUAGACUCAGGGUAACGUGGGAGAUCCACAUCUUAGCUGCUCCAGUGCACUGCCUUUCAGAGCUAAACAAGAGCCGUGGCCUUUUCUUCAUCACCAAGAAGCACUGUCUGAUGGAAUGAGAGACUUUAACCAAUGUGUGUCUCCUAAAAGGGACCUGGCGAGGUUUUGCAUUGCCUAGACCAGGGGUCUCCAAACUUUUCAGCCCGAGGGCCGCAUUAACUAUCAAACAGCAGUUCGGGG